GCCUGGGUAGCUCAGCGGUAGAGCAAUGCUCUCAUAAGGCAGAGGUUCGUGGGUUCGAAUCCCACCCCAGGCA
rnacentral:tRNA from 1 species